rnacentral:rRNA from 1 species
CAGGGUUUGAUUCCGGAGAGGGAGCCUGAGAAACGGCUACCACAUCCAAGGAAGGCAGCAGGCGCGCAAAUUACCCACUCCCGGCACGGGGAGGUAGUGACGAAAAAUAACGAUACGGGACUCAUCCAAGGCCCCGUGAUCGGAAUGAGAACACUUUAAAUCCUUUAACGAGGUUCCAUUGGAGGGCAAGUCUGGUGCCAGCAGCCGCGGUAAUUCCAGCUCCAAUAGCGUAUAUUAAAGUUGUUGCGGUUAAAAAGCUCGUAGUUGAAUCUGUGUCUAACGGCGUCGGUUCACCGCUCGCGGUGUAACUGGCGCGCCGGUUGGACGUCCUGCCGGUGGCGGUCUGGGCUUUCGGCUAUGUGUAGGUUCGCCGAAGCAUGCCGUUGGUUCCAGCCGCCGAUUCAAUCCCGCCGCGGUGCUCUUAACUGAGUGUCGAGGUGGGCCGGCACGUUUACUUUGAACAAAUUAGAGUGCUUAAAGCAGGCUGGUGUCCGCCUGAAUACUGUGUGCAUGGAAUAAUGGAAUAGGACUUCGGUUCUAUUUUGUUGGUUUUAAGAAUCCGAAGUGAUGAUUGAUAUGGACAGGCGGGGGCAUUUGUAUUGCGACGUUAGAGGUGAAGUUCUUGGAUCGUCGCUAUACGUACCUAAGCAUGAGCAUUUGCCAAGUAUGUCCUCGUGGAUCACAGCCGAAAGUUAGAGGUUCGAAGGCGAUCAUAACUCGCCCUAGUUCUGGCCAUACACGAUGCCAGCCAGCGAUCCACCAUAGUUCCUCCGAUGUCUUGGCGGGCAGCUUCCGGUGAGCCUGAGCUUUUGGGWUCCGGGGCAAGUAUGGUUGCGAAGSUGUAACUUAAAGGAAUUGACGGAAGGGCACCACCAGGAGUGGAGCCUGCGGCUUAAUUUGACUCAACACGGGAAACCUCACCAGGCCCGGACACCGGAAGGAUUGACAGAUUGAUAGCUCUUUCUUGAUUCGGUGGGUGGUGGUGCAUGGCCGUUCUUAGUUGGUGGAGCGAUUUGUCUGGUUAAUUCCGAUAACGAACGAGACUCUAGCCUGCUAACUAGGCGUCUCCGGUAUCCACAAUAGUGCUACCGGCGAAUAAAUUUCUUCUUAGAGGGACAGGCGGCUUCUAGCCGCACGAGACUGAGCAAUAACAGGUCUGUGAUGCCCUUAGAUGUCCUGGACCGCACGCGCGCUACACUGAAGGAAUCAGCGUGUCUUCCCUGGCCGAAAGGUCCGGGUAACCCGUUGAACCUCCUUCGUGCUAGGGAUUGGGGCUUGCAAUUGUUCCCCAUGAACGAGGAAUUCCCAGUAAGCGCGAGUCAUAAGCUCGCGUUGAUUACGUCCCUGCCCUUUGUACACACCGCCCGUCGCUACUACCGAUUGAAUGAUUUAGUGAGGUCUUCGGACUGGUGCGCGGCGAUCGCCUCGUGUGGUCGCCGAUGUUGCCGGGAAGAUGACCAAACUUGAUCAUUUAGAGGAAGUAAAAGUCGUAAC